UGCCAGACUCCUACGGGAGGCAGCAGUGAGGAAUAUUGGUCAAUGGCCGGAAGGCUGAACCAGCCAAGCCGCGUGAAGGACGAAGGUGCCAAGCAUUGUAAACUUCUUUUGUCAAGGGACAAAAUCAGGCUCGAGAGCCUGACCGAGGGUACUUGAAGAAAAAGCAUCGGCUAACUCCGUGCCAGCAGCCGCGGUAAUACGGAGGAUGCGAGCGUUGUCCGGAAUUACUGGGUGUAAAGGGGGCGUAGGCGGGGAUGCAAGUUGGGUGUCAAAACUACCGGCUCAACCGAUAGUCGCACUCAAAACUGCAACUCUUGAGUGAAGUAGAGGCAGGCGGAAUUCCUAGUGUAGCGGUGAAAUGCGUAGAUAUUAGGAGGAACACCAGUGGCGAAGGCGGCCUGCUGGGCUUUUACUGACGCUGAGGCUCGAAAGUGUGGGGAGCAAACAGGAUUAGAUACCCCGGUAUUU
rnacentral:rRNA from 1 species